rnacentral:rRNA from 1 species
CAAAGAUUAAGCCAUGCAAGUGUCAGUUCAUGCCAAACUAAGGUGAAACCGCGAAAGGCUCAUUAAAUCAGUUAUAGUUUACUUGAUGGCAUGACGUUCAUCGUUACUUGGAUAACUGUGGCAAUUCUAGAGCUAAUACAUGCACUCGAGUCUCGACCGUUCGCAGCGGAAGAGAUGCUUUUAUUAGAUCAAAACCAAUCGGGAAAUCGUCGGUCUCCCGGCGACGUACCGUAAAGUCUUGGUGACUCUGGAUAAAUUGUCGCUGAUCGCAAGGUCCCUGCACCUGCGACGCAUCUUUCAAAUGUCUGACUUAUCAACUAUCGACGGUAUGCCACGUGCCUACCGUGGUGGUAACGGGUAACGGGGAAUCAGGGUUCGAUUCCGGAGAGGGAGCCUGAGAAACAGCUACCACAUCCAAGGAAGGCAGCAGGCGCGCAAAUUACCCACUCCCGGCACGGGGAGGUAGUGACGAAAAAUAACGAUGCAGAACUCUUUUACGAGGCUCUGCAAUCGGAAUGAGAAGACCCUAAAUCAUUUACCGAGUAUCCAUUGGAGGGCAAGUCUGG